UCUCUGAGCACUGGUGAAACCGGAAUAA
rnacentral:sRNA from 1 species